UCUUUCUUUCUUUCUUUCUUUCUUUCUUUCUUUCUUUCUUUCUUUCUUUCCUUUUUAAAAUCAAUAUCCCAAGCAUUUUGUUAACAAAAGAAGCAGCAAUAGUUAUGAGCAAAGUGUUGGGUUUGUCUUUUAGGUUAUAGAAAAAGCAAGAUCUUCCAAGGUUCAGGGGAUGUCAUGCAAUCCCUGUAACACGUAGGAAACAGAGACUAUUGAAAUGGGAUCUUCUAAGCCAAAAUGUAAUCCUGGGUGGACGGAGGUGACACCACUCAGGGAGACUGAAGAUCAUACAAAUACCUGCAAAGUUCAGAUCGGUUUUAAAUAAUCAGUCACAGACUCCUGGUAACAAACAAGCUGGGCUUAACAGAAGGGAGCCAGUCAUCCGCUUUGAUGGCUAUCAAUGGAAUGUUAGAAGUCCCAGGAGGGAGAAUUUGUGUGCACAGACAGAUAAAGAAGGAGAAGGCUCUUUCAGGAAACUCAGCAUCAGGAGGGACCCUGAGAUUACAGAGAAGAUAAGAAAGUUAAGGACAAGUACCCGAAGAUGCACCCGAGGAAGAUCACAGAGGAGCCGGUGGUGGCAGACAUCAUAAACACAGGCUCUGGCCCCUUGCUCAACAAGGGCUGAUGGGUUUUGAAGUUUGACCAGGUGACAUGACCUUAUCUCCCCCAAGUAUGCAAAUGAACUUAGACUAAUAUCCACUAAGAACUGACCCUGUUGUGUGCUUCUUUGUGUACCCAGAAUAUGUAGGGGUUUUGAGCGGUGGGUACCCAAGGAAUUAAUAGUUUAAAAUGUCUGUUCCAUUUUCUGCUAUGUAUUUAUUCUCUCAAAGCACAUUAAGUGGUCCGAUUAUGUGAAUCCCUGAAUAUUAUCUUAAAAUAUAGAUCCCUAGGCCCAUUUCAGAGAAGUCUUGAUUAGGCUACACAAAAACCUUCUCUUUCUUGAAAUUUAUAUAAUUCUUAUUUUUGGCAUUUGGAGACACAAAAACCUUCUCUUUCUUGAAAUCUAUAUAGAGACUCUAUGGGAAAAAAAAGCAAAAAGCUUCUUGAUAGAUGCUUGUGUGUGUGUGUGUGUGUGUGUGUGUGUGUGUGUGUGUAUGUGUGUAUUUAUAGACCAUACUUCUAUAUGCAGAGGUCAGCAAAGCAGAAGUGAGUAUUUAAUGUACACUAGGCAGUGGGUAUGUAACACAUCUUUAACUACUUGCAUGAGAACUUGAGCUGUAGGAUCUUACAUAGGUCAGUUAACCUAAAAAUUCAGGGUAGUUUAAUAACAGAUAAAGGGAAUUUUGAGGAAAGACAUGGCUGUCCUUUAAACUUUAAAUUGUAGCUAAUACAUUACAUGUUACUAAGUGACUUCAUAACAUAGCUCAGUGGAUUUUGCCAGAAGGUGUGGGCCUAGGCUGGCUUCUGAAGACGACAGGGUCUUGUGUAUUUCUUUUAAUGAACCUUGAAACACACCUCACGGCCACUGCAAAACAACAAAAACAACCUUGGAGAAUCAUUUUAUUUUCUCACAAAAAGCUACCUUAAACUAUAUGCAAAUUCAGCAGGUGGUUUCUUCCCUAUAAGUUAUAAAUCAUACAGAAUUUUGUGAAUUCACAGGUACCUGAAUCAAUAAGACUGGGAAAGAGGACAUUAUUGGGGGGGGGGGUGCAUUCCUGUAUAACAGGUCUCUUAUUUAAAAAAACAAACAAAAACACCAUUCAAGCAUUUUGAGAAAACCAGUUGAACAGGGUUGAAAAAAUUACUUUCUUUCCUUGUAAAGGCUAUGAUUUUUGAAAAUCAAAUUAUUUCCCAAGUAAAAGCUAUUUAUAGUUUGUUUCUGGAAAGAACCCACACCAUGAAAAUGUAGGAGAAUAGUUUGUAGAGUGGCCAAGCCAAUUCUGGGCACCAGACCCCAAAGGGUUUUAAAAGUGAAACAGUACCAUGAAGAAUCAUUUUAUUCCUAUGAAAGGUUUGGGCUUAAGCCUGUCUGCUAAAUUAUCAGUCACAAAGUGAAUCUGAAUAUUUACAAAACUCAGAGGAGUUUUCAACCUCACUGGGAGGCGUCCUAGGUAUUGUUAUCAUAAAUAUAUAGCUGUUGCCCACGUGAUCUGGUUAUUUUUGAGUAAAAACCUUUGGGUUGAAAUGUCCUCAUAAACUCUGGAGGAGAUGGGAAGAGCCUUUUAGAGUCUUGCCAUUUGGGAUAGGGGUUCUUUCCUGGAGGUGGGGAACGGGGAGCUGUGUCAUCUCUGCAUUCUAUAUGCUAGAUGCAAGCAGCACUUCCCACCCAGCUGUCCCCUGGUAAGGGAGGGAACAUUGCUUGUGGUUGAGAAAGACUAUUUUAAUGUGUUAAUCAAAGAAAUGAAAUCCCAUUUAACUAGUGCAGGUAUACGCUAGCUUGUCUAGAAACAAAGGGGGCAUAGAAGAUGUCACAAGCAAAAUCAGUGCUAAACUUCACUUACACAUUCUUACUCUAAACUCUUUUUUUCCUUCCCUUUCCUUUCUUUACUCUCCUCUCCCCUCCCCUCCCCUCCUUUGCUCUCCCUUCCCCUCCUCUCCCUUUUCCUGCCCUCCUCUCCCAUCUCCUCUGCUUUUCUCUCUCCUUUCCUUUACUGUCUUUUCCAGAAGCUGAUGAAGUGCACUCACUUCCUUCUCAGCCCAUACCCACUCUUCCAGUGAGUGUUGGACAUCAUUCUGGGAGGUGACUUUUUUUCUCCCGACAAAUGUAUUUGUCCCAUAAAAAUUGGAGCCUUUAAGGAGUUAUAAACCCCAGCGUUUCUUGAGGAGCUGUUACCAUUCUAGGUUGUCUUGCAUCUACUCCCUCCCCCAGUCUGCCCCCUCCCCCAAAUUUGGCCUUGUGUAUUCCUUGGAUGCAGCCAUAGUCCUCUUGCUUUCACACUGCAGCAGAAACUGCACAGUAAGGAAUCCUGCGUCUUUGAAUAGUGCUUUGAUUCACACAAUAUCUGCAUUUGACUGUCAGGUAAAUCGUCCAGAAACUCUAUUAAACAUGCAAAGACCUUGGGUCAAAACAAAUGCCGGUCAGUAAUGAGGUUCUACAAUAUUAUAGAAAUAUACCUCCAGCAUAUAUAACAUAUCAUAAUACCAAAAUGUAAGAAAUGUCAAAACAGACAGGUACAUAUUUGUUGGGUACAUUGGCUUUGUAAGAACAGAUUGCCUCUAAUUUGUGCCAUUUUUAAGUAUUUGAAAUAAUAUUAAAAAAAGAUCUCUAUUCUAAAAGUAGCAAAGGACAUAUAUGUCAAUGUACUUAUCAAAGCCUAAAGUCUAAAUACUAUUAGGAAAAACAUUACUUAGUUGUUUUAAGUGGAAAAAAAAUCACCAAUUUGAGAAAAUUUAUCUUUCAUGCUACCAUUUGAUCAAACUUGAUUGUGGCUUCUAAGUCUGUCUUCUCUUAGGAGUCUGAAUGAAUGGAAUUGCGGGCUUUCCAUUCAGGGUUCACUCCUCUCUGUAUGCAAGUGGGAGCUUGUGCUCCCUGCUCUCAGAUGUUUCUGUUGGUGGUGUUCUCCCUUCCUCCUCCCCCUCCCCUCUCUCUGGCAUCUUGUUAGCAUAGUGUAGUAGAGGAGAGUGGACUUCACUCACUUAGAUGGAUGAGCGUCCCAUAGGGUUAGAGAUAGGGUACUUUGAAAAUAAAGAUGGAAUCACUAAAAACUGAGCAAGUUCAGCAAGGCACCAUAAAAGACAACGUCUAAGGAGACCAAGAACUAUUUUUCCCUUAAGAAAUCAGCUCUCCUUAUUCAGUAGAGUGCUCUGAUUAUUCACUUCAGACAGUGCCCUAUCUCUAACUAUGGCUUCUCUGAGUGACAUCCGCCCGGGACUCAAGUGAUAAAUAUUUAACAAAGGGAACUCCCCUUACAGCCUCUUCUUUUUUCCAUAUGCAUUAAACUAAUGACUUCAUUUUAACAAGCAAAGCUCCUCUCUGAAAUGCAGCCUCAAGGAUUUCACACUUUUGAAAACUAUCUGCAACUAAGUUGAUCUACAGAGAAACACUGUAAAAAGUUAAAAGUUUCCAGGGUUAACUCUGGUAAGAAAGGCAAAAACCGUAAAAGACCAACUGUUCCCUGUGCCCCUGUCCUUUAGUGCUUGUCAACAUGGCCCCAUAUUUGGUCAUUUCAAUGGAAUGGCAUAGAGAUUUUUGCUUACUGCAAUGGAGAAAAUAAAGACAUUUUACAGGCUUUGUGGAGAAUUUGAUUUCCCAGAGACUACCCCCCCUUUUUCUUCUUAUUCUUUUUUGGGUAUAAUUCUCUCUGUGCUGAAGACAUUCUGUUCUGGUGAAUUCUGCCCUUCUUAUUCCUGGCAAUUACAUUCACAUCUUUGAUCUUGGAUGAGAUCUCUUGUGCAUAUUUUGUUCUAUUUAUGUCUUUGAUCUGGUUUCUUCUGAUUUUUUUUUUUUUGAGGUUGUGUUUUUAUUCGAAAGACAUUCAUCCUAAAAUAUUUAAAGGGGAAAACAAGGUGACAUUUACUUUAUCCAUAUGACAUUGUCUUUUGAGGCAUAUGGAUAAAUGAGACCGUCUUUAUAUGUCUCAACUCCAUCUUCCAAUAUCCCAUAGUUUGUGAUUUUUAGCUGUCAUAACAGCUCACAAUUGGAUAGAUGGCAAUGCGGUUGAUCCAACUUGGCUCUUGGGUUUUGUAAUCUUGUUAUUCCAUUUGUCUUAAAACAGUCGAUUUUCCAGCAACCUGACAGUGAUGCAGCUAUUGAACAUGAAGUAAACUCACAGAGCACUUGCUUAUGGAAGGCUUAAGUAGUCUUAUUUAUUUGCUAUUAUCCCUAUCAUCUAUUUACUAUGGAAUAAUUUGCUUGCUUAUGUAACAUAGUAUUUAUAUUCAGGUUUCAAGAAUUCGCCCAGGUAGCUUUAAAGAUGAUAUGUGUUGCUAAGGGGAGAUUAAAAAAAAGAAUAAGAGAACAGCUAGCGGUCGCUGUAGCGAUGGCAAAGAGCUAUGAAUAAGGGGGCCGCACGGGACCUGGGAAUGUACAUGACAAAAAUUGGUCACCAUGGCAACAUUUGAGCAGUGGGAGACAGGGAGCUGAAGUGUGCAACAGAACCACAGUGGCCUGAUUGAAAAGAACUGCCUAUAAUUUAGCUUGACUGACUUGUUAUGUAAUAUGUUUUCUGGGCUAUGCAAAUGACUGUAGAAAUGUGAGAAUUUAAAAUAGUUUACAAAUCCAGACUGUAAUAAAAAUGGGGGAAAGAAAGAGGGAGAGAUGUUCCUUUAAGGGGUCAGAUCGUAAUUCUGCUUUUUAGAAAACUAGAGUGUUUCUGUGCCUGAUGGCCUUAGAUGGUGUUACCACAGGUAUUUUUGUAUAAAGCCCUGUCUGGAAACAACAUUUUUUGUAUUUCAGAGACAAGAGACAUGUUUAUACAAAUUGCUAAAUAUUGCUUUUAAAAAGCAAGUAAAACUAGAAUUAGGGGCAGAGGAAAAAUAUAGCACAGCGGUAAGAAAUUGUAAAGUUGAAUAGCUCCAUGCUGAGCCUCUUUACAUAAAACAGGGUCCUGGGAAGCUUUCCGUGGAAUUUGUUUUCAGUUCACUGUUUGCUUUUUUGAGGCAUCUGGACAACUGUCGUUGUUUUCUUUCUCAGUUGUGGUCGGUUCUGCACACAGUCACCUAGCAAGAAGGAGCUCAAUGCUAUGGCCUGACCAAAUGGCACUCGGUUAUGUCUGCUUUCACAUAUAUUUGCCCCUAAUGGACACAUAUUACCUGAGUGGCAUCAGGAGAGCCAGAAUACAAUCUAUUAAAAGUGGUAGGAGAACACUGACACCCUGGUCCAUAAAUCUGAGCAGGAAUCUCUUCUGCAGAUGUAGCAGGCAGUACAUAAGGCUUGCCUACAUCCCAGGAAGCAGAAUUAGAAUGAAUCGCAUAGCUUAAUGGCAACAUUCCUGCUAAGCUGUGCAUAUAAUAGUGACAAUAAUAAAAUUAGUAGUAAUUAUAGAAAUGAUUACUGCUUAAAUUUACUGAGUACCCUCUGGAUGCCAGAUACUCUUGUGCCUCAUUUACGCCUCACAAAACUGCCGCAAGAUAAAAACAACCACCCUCCCCUCCCAUUUAGCAGAUAGGGGACUAGAAAGGCUAAUGUCAUUUGCCUAUGGUCAUGCAAAUAGUAAACUGAUCAGAAUGCAGAGCCAUCUAUCUCCUGAGCAUCAUUCUGCAAGCAAGGUUUCUUUUCUGUUGCAGGCCAGAUAAUUUUAAAUGACCUUGCUAUGCUAUUCUUGUGGCCAGCACCUUCUCUGCACAAAUCCUUUUUUUUUUCCUUUCCUUUUUUUUUUUGUUUUUGUUUUUGUUUUUUCCUUUGGAGCUGAUCACACUUUAUCACAGUCCUAGUUUCUACUCUUAUACCCAGACACUGGAAAAUAUGUUCUCUGCUUUUAUUUCCUAAAAUUACUUAUGAUAUUGUUACCUUUGCAUUUCAAAAUGCCCUCCGUCCAAGGUUCACAUCUUAAAAGCUUGGUUUGAAAUAGAACACUCUUCAGAGAUGGGGCUUUGUGAAAACGAUGGGAUCCAGUUCUGACUUUAUCAACGGAUCAAUCUACUGAAAGAAGAAGUCUCACUGGAAGAAUUGCUUUCCUUUGGAUUGGCCUGAGGGACAUUUUCUCAAUUGCUCCACGAUGAUGGAGGGCCCAGCCCACUGCAGGAGGUACCACAUCAUGAUAGAUGGGCUAGACAAAAAAAAAUGUCUCAUCCUAUAUGGUUUGGAAGCUUUAUAAGUGACCAUACCAACUAGAUAGAAAUGGAGCAACAUGGUCCCGUCUUACUGAGAGGAGAAAUCUCUACUGGAACACUCUUCCCUGCCAGCUUAAUACUCAGCACAAGGCAGAAGGAAUGCUUCUCACGAGCUUCACCAAGGGAGACGGGUGGCAAGCAUCUUUCAGGCGUUCCCAAGCUCGCCCCAAUUUGUGGAGACAGCUCUGGUACCAUGGCAUUUUCUGAUGACAACAACUCCCGAUGCAGCUGUACCAACGCUGCCGCUGAUAUAUCCAUUAAAAAGAGAAGCUUGUAAAAUCCAGAUUUGAAAUUCAAUAAGGAAUUCAGAGGAAAGUCUUGCUUUCAGGCCAUCUCCUGGCUAAAUGAAUAAAUGAAUAGGGAAACUAUUGCAUACAAAAAAAAAAUGUCAAAAGCUACCAAAGGAAGCUUUGCUCACUAAUGUUUCAAAAUAGCCCCGUCUGGAAAGGUAUGCUUUUAGACUAAGAAAGCAGAAAAAAACUAAUUAGACAAGAAGUAACCGUGAACAAACAUGUUAGCAGAACCAAUAACUGGAACUGAUCAGCUAUUUCUCUAAUUGUGCCAGCUGGACAGCUAUGAUGCGCUUAGCAGAGCAUAAUUACUAAUUUCUAUUCCAUACCCCAACCCUUUUCUUUCCUCUCCCUUUUGUAGAAAUACCCAGGCAUAUGCCACUUAAUAAAAUAAUAAUAACAUUCUGUAAAGGUAAAAAGUGAGUGGGAAAAACUGAGAGCCUAUGUACGAUGACAUUUUGUGAAUGAUCAGGAGGUUGAUCGAGGACAAUCCUCUAGUUGUGUUAAUAAGAAUUUGAGCAAUCAAGGAAAUGCACUAUGAUCUUAAUUUAAAGGCUAUUAUGUGCUUGCUUCAUUACAAAUAAGGACAAUUUACAUCACUAUGUUAGCAUGGGCUUCAUAUUCAUGGUCUUUCUCACUUGGAGAGGUAUGGUUAAUUUCAGCUCAAAGCACUGUGUCUCCUAUGAUGUGAAGUUGUGCAAUCCAGUUACCUGGUGCUGUUCAGAGAAGUUUAAACAGACUACGGGUUGGGCCUAUAAAAGGAAUAGAGAUGAGAAAGUUUUCCUAGUUAAUUCAAAAGAGGAACAAUUCCUGGUUCAAUUGAUUUGUACACCCCACCCCCACCCCCCCACUCCUCAAAUGACAGCUAAACAAAGAUUUGUAAGCAUGUAAUAGUCUGGAGAGGCCGGUGUUUAAAGUCCAAGUUUAGCUGUGUAUAACUAAAGAAAGCUUAUCAUUUCUGACAUGCUGCUGUGAGAAACAGGCCCCUUUAGGGUACUUGUCACUGGGAAAAGUGACAUGUUAAAGGAAAUAUGAACACAGGGACUGAAAGGCACACCAGAAAAUACUGGAAGGAAAAAUCCUAGUAAAGUAAGGAUUUAUUGAAAGAUUUGCUUACACAGAACUUAAAGGUUUUGUCGCUUGUUGUUUGGUUUGGUUGCUUUGUGCUUUUGUGGUUUUGUAGAUAAGGUUUCUCUGUCCUGCUGUCCUAGAAUUCACUCUGUAGACCAGGCUGGCCUGGAUCUCACAGAGAUCCGCCUGCCUCUGUCUCGUUAACUAUUGAGGAUUAAGGCAUGCUCCACCACUGCCAGGCAACAACAAUGUGUUUUACUAGGAGGUAAAUGUUUCCUCAAUUUAGUUUGAGCAGAAUGAAAGAACUCAUAAUAGUAAAUAAAUACAUUUCCUCCUAGCUGUAAAGAACUUAUGAGAAAAAUGACAUUUUAAGUGACAAAGGGUCUUAGCUUUUGUGUUUGCUUUUUUGUUUCUUUCCUUUUCCUUUUUUCUUUUCCUUGCCAAGGUCUCAUAUAUCUCUGGCUGACCUGAUAUGUGCUAUCAACUUGUGAUCUUGAAUUUUUGAUCUCCUGUCUCCACCUCCUUCGUACUGGGAUUAUAGGCAUGCGCCACUGCGAUGUAAUGGUACUAGCUAGUGAUCCAAAGUAGGGAUAGCUCAGGCUUUGCGCGUGCUGGGUAAGCAUUCCGCAACUGAGCUGCAUCCCGGGCUUUUGGGUUCAUUUUUGUUUUAAGCUUUGUGAGUUCCAUGGUUCUACAGUGACAUCUACUUUACUUGACAGUGGGAAGACUGAGACUGUGUGGGAUUAUGGGUCCCUCGGUUUUACCAGCUCUGGAAAAAAAGGGGUUCCUUUUUCUUCCAUGAUGUUAUAUCAUCUAUCGUUGCCUCCAGCAAUAUACUUAAACACCGUUGGGUUUAGCUAAGCUCAGUGUAAUUUAAUGCACAUGUUUUUACUGCUCAGUUUCUGUGGUCCAGCCUAGUGGAAGACUUGUAUCUUUAGAGAACCCCCCUUCUAGUUCCAGGGGCAUCCAUUGUGUGUUUCCUUCAUUUGCAGUUAUGUAGAUGCAAAAUUAACCCAAGGUAUCUACUUGAGGUCUCUAGCAAGUCUGACUCAGAUGGUUUGAAUGGGAGUGGGGUAGAACCCACUUUUCACAUCCUUAAUUUGUGUUCCGACUUUGGACCGGGUACUGCGUGUCUCUCGAGCUUCAUGACCCCCAUGAGCUCAUGAGGAAUAUAGUAUUUAAUGAUCUCAUUACCUUUAUUCUGGGGGAUGCAGAAAGUAGAAACAGUCUUCUCCAGUAAUUAGUGCCCCCCCCCCAACCUAUCCCAAUAGGUCAGCCUUAAGCACAUAUGAGCAACAGGAAGAUCUCAGUAAAACACAGGAAGGAGGGAGACGGAUAAGAGAAGACAUAGAGAUGGGGGAGGGGAGGGAUGAUGUAAAUAAAGUACCCAUAUAGUCAACUCUCAAAAUUAAACAAACUGUAUUUGUACGGUUCCCCUUUACAUGUAGACAUCUGAUAUCCUCACUAUCAUUCGUUGAAAGGACAUUGUGUCCUUCUGGUCCUGACUCCCUUGUGAAAAUCGAUUUUACAUGCACAUGAGGACUGGCCUGCGCUGCAUUCCACUGAGCCAUACGUCCAACUUUUUGUCAGUAUCAUACAGUCUUGAUGACAGCAUCUAUGUGACAAAGUAGGAGUCAGGAAAUAGGAAUCCUGUAGCAUUGUUCUUAACAAGAUGGUCUUAUUGAUUGGGCCUCUGAGAUUCUAAAGGAUGUUAGGAUGAAAUGCUGUUUUUAUACAAAACAUCCCUGGGGUUUUGACAGCAAUUAACAUUGAAUCUGAAGAUUGCCUUGGGUAGUACUGAUACCUUAGUGAUAUUGUCUCCUACUUCAUGAACAUGGGAUGUCUUGAUGUACAUGCAGAUAAUGAAGUGGCUACAAUAGCAAUCAAAUUAGUGUGUCCUUUGCCUCACAUUUUGUGGGAUAAGACAUCUGAAAUCUACUUUUAGCAACAAUCCCAAGUAGAAUUCAAAUUAUUAACUUUCUGCCUCUGGGCUAUUUUACUUAGCAUGGUGGCUUCCAAUUUCACUCAUUUUUAUGACAAAUGCAUGAUCAUGUUCUGCAAAGCUGGAUAGCAAUCCAUUGUAUACAUGUGUUAAACUUUGUCCUUUCUUCUGUUGGUUGCUUCUGUAUCCUGAUAUUUAUGAUUGAUAAUGCAUUGCACAUGGUUGUGUGGCAUCUGUCAGGUAGUGGCUUUCCUUUAGGUAGAUGCCCCAAAGGAUUACUGACUCAUACAGUAGUUCCAUUUUAUUAUUAUCAUUUUAUAUACUUUUAGUUUCAACUUAUGUGUGCUCUUAGAUCUACUGAAUCUCUUGUAGGCAGCCUACAGUUAGACUAUUCUCCCCCUGUGGUCUGUUUUCUCUAAUAUGGGUAUUUUCAUUGCUUCAUGGUCUACACAAUUUCUUUUUAUAGUUAGUUCACUUUUGUAGGAAAAUAUUUUAAUUCUCUAAUUUCUUCUUGUAUACAUUCUAUACAUAUUUAUCAUGGUUACUGUGGAGAUAAUAUUUAAUAUUCUAAGGUUAUAACACCCUGCCUGGAAUUUUUACCAUAUUGCCUUGAUAGUGUGCAAAGUCUCUGGUUCAUUAUAAAAACAUCCUCAUCUGCUGACAUCAAAAACUGUAUUUCUAUACAUUAUGUGUCCAAGACCAUAAUAAUUUGGCAUCUGUUUCUUCAGUAGAGAAUUAAAUAUUGUAUUACAAAUUUUACCUAUAGAAAUACUAGCUUCUAGGACUACUGUGAAGGUUAUUUGUUUUUGACUAAAAUUUGUCCAAAAUUAACCAACAAUAUACUCACGAAGCCUUUUCUAGUGUAACUAUUUUCAGAAUAUAGGAAGGUAUCACUCA